rnacentral:rRNA from 1 species
UACGGAGGGGGCUAGCGUUGUUCGGAAUUACUGGGCGUAAAGCGCACGUAGGCGGGCUGCUAAGUCGGGGGGUGAAAUCCUGAGGCUCAACCUCAGAAUUGCCUUCGAUACUGGCGGUCUUGAGUGCGGGAGAGGUGAGUGGAAUUCCCAGUGUAGAGGUGAAAUUCGUAGAUAUUGGGAAGAACACCAGUGGCGAAGGCGGCUCACUGGCCCGCAACUGACGCUGAGGUGCGAAAGCGUGGGGAGCAAACAGG